UGGGGGAUAUUGCACAAUGGGGGAAACCCUGAUGCAGCGACGCCGCGUGGAGGAAGAAGGUUUUCGGAUUGUAAACUCCUGUCGUUAGGGACGAUAAUGACGGUACCUAACAAGAAAGCACCGGCUAACUACGUGCCAGCAGCCGCGGUAAAACGUAGGGUGCAAGCGUUAUCCGGAAUUACUGGGUGUAAAGGGAGCGCAGGCGGGAAAUCAAGUUGGAUGUGAAAUGUCGGGGCUUAACCCCGGAACUGCAUCCAAAAACUGAUAUUCUUGAGUGAAGUAGAGGUAGGCGGAAUUCCGAGUGUAGCGGUGAAAUGCGUAGAUAUUCGGAGGAACACCAGUGGCGAAGGCGGCCUACUGGGCUUUAACUGACGCUGAGGCUCGAAAGUGUGGGGAGCAAACAGGAUUAGAUACCCUGGUAGU
rnacentral:rRNA from 1 species